CUGCAGGAAAACCAAGUAAAACACAAACAAGUGCACGCGCGAGUCACCCUGCUGACGUAAAUGAUCCGUUUUUGGAGUUUUUAUGAUUUUGGCUAUUGGUCCCAAGAUGGAUCCCAGUCUGUCUCUGUUACCUGCUGAUCUGAGGAGUGUAGACCAGAGCACCACACAUGUAAAACCAGAAAUAUCAGCAGAUACCAUCACAUCUCUGAACUGCGGUAAAAUAAUUGUCGUGAAGAAAGAGUCGGAUGAUGAAGAAUAUUCAGAUGUUGGGGCAGGAAUAUCAUCAGAUUCCAGUAAAAUACUGGAACCAACAGGAAUUGAUGUGAAGAAAGAUUUGGAUGAUGAAGAAUAUUCAGGUGAGGGGAGUUCCGUUGAUAUAAAUAACUGUAUUGACUGUGUUGCUGUGGAUAAGCACAUCAGGCGUUUUACUGUCAGUAAACCUUGAAUCUUAAAAGGAGGAGAAGGCCCAGAAUCCACCCAUGAGAAUCCACCCACCCACUUGUUUUGAACAACUACCCUCUAAAAGGUCAUAAAAGGUAAAAGAGUUUGAUUAGACUCGAGAGGUUUAUUGUCAGUACAACAGUAUACAGUGUAUAAAAAUGACCUCCCAUGGUGCAGUGGUAAAAAACAGUGCUGUUCCUGUACCAGACUGUGAUAUAGCAGCAGAGAACACUUUCAAUUAGUGUUGUCACGGUACCAAAAUUUCAUUAUUCGGUAGCAAUACCAGUGAAAAUCCACGGUUCUCGGUACCAAAGCAAAACACAAAAACAUGAAUUGAACAACAAGCUAUUUUUAUUAAUAACAAACAAUAAUUAAACAAACAUGACUGAAUAACACAUUCUUCUUGUUUAUAAACUUAUAAACUUCAUAUUAUUAUAAAAUAAAACAAAACCAAGACAUUGUAAACUUUUGAAAUACUAAUGAAAUAACUAAAUAAAUCACAAGCAUUCCCAAAUCCCAACAUCCCAGGGUGUGAGAAGAACAUGUUUACAAAAAAAUGUAACAAUUUCACUUACUAAUUUUCACCCAAAACUUCACUUGCCUGCACUGUUCCUUAAAUAAUUUUUUGCCAUUUCCAGAGUUUCAUAAAAGAAACACUAAUAUAUCAACGUCUUCCUGAUUCUUGAGCGUCAAUGUACCAUGCAGCGCUGAAAACUAUUUCAGAUGCACAGCUUGAUGCAGCAAUGCACAGCAAUGCACAUCCUCGCAAACUCUGAUAGUUGAGCAGUGUGUGGGGGUAGUGUACACACAGGUAGUGUGCUUUGCAUUUAAAACUGGACAUAAUAGCGGAGUGUUUU
ensembl:lncRNA